rnacentral:tRNA from 1 species
GGGGUUGUGGCUCAGUGGUAGAGCGCUCGCCUAGCAUGCGCGAGGCACUAGCUUCAAUCCUCAGCACCA